CUAAAUCAGGCGAACGGAAGGAGGAGAGCGCCUCUGGAGCUCUCAGGAACCCUAUUGCACGAAAGAACCCUAAUCAGCCUUGGCUCCCACCCUUCCCACACGAUUGAGGGAAUGAUAUUCCUCUCGAUGGUUUCUGGUUCUGGUUCAGUUGAAUGGCAAGCCUUCAUCAUGUCUCUAAUCCAAUCUCUGAAUACAGACAACAACAGUAUGCAUGUGUUCGGAGAACCAGAAGUUGACAAACUUCAAACCUAAAUCAGGAACAAAAUAGGCUAUUACAUUGAAAUAUGACCAUAAGAAAAUAUGACUCGCCUUGGAUUCUGAAGAGAGAAGAUAUGAUUUAGUUGUCAAUUCAUACAGUGGGUGAUGAUGAGAAGUUUUCCAAACAAUUUUGAACAUGUCGCUAAUGGACUUUUUUGUUUAUUGUUUAGACAGUAUCUGCGACUGGUUUCUCUUAGAUUGGAGAGCAGGUUUCUUUUCAUCGAUGGUCGACCUUUUUCGAGUCGACAUCAGUUUAUUAAAACUCAUUUCAUAUGACAUAAAUCAGCAAUUGAUCCUUAAGUCUUCCCUAAA